rnacentral:lncRNA from 1 species
AAACAGAAGAUUCAGUGUAGGAAAGAGAUUCAGAUUUGCACAUUAAAUUACCAGUGGAGAAAGACAGGUUUUUAUGCAUCUGACCCUCAUUCCCCAUAGAUUAACCACAGCAUUAUUUUCACCUACGGGGUAGCCUUACCACUUUGAUGGAAAAAAAAGAAGUGGCAGGAGAGGGUUGCUGUUUUAUACUGUAUAGAUUCCACCCACCUCUUUGGUUGGUUGGUUUUUGUUUUGCAGGGGUUGGCUUUUUUUUUUUUUUUAAAUUACAGCAUAAUAAAAAGUCAGCACCCUCCCUACUGAUAACAAGACAUUACUGCAACAGAUCUAUCUUCACACUGAAAGUGCCUGCAUGCUAGAGCUUUUUCUGAGAAGAGACAUCUUCAAUCAAAACUUAAUUUCUUGUAACAUGUGGUAUAAUUCACAAAACAGGAAAAUAGACUUCAAUCUUAAAGCACCACAGUAGUUACACGAAUUCAGAAAAAGAAUCUAGUUCACAUAUAGAGAGAUCAUGUGCUCAUCCUAGAUCUGAAGCUGAAAUCAGCAUCAUACAGGCAAUUGGCUCAGGUCCUCUUUUCAUUGCACGACCUCUCUCUGUUUGAUGAAAUUUUUAUUGUAUCACCUUGCCAUAACACUGCCUCAUCAGUGUCCUCCCACGUUCCCAAACCAUGUCAGUCACAGAAUUACUAAGCAAACUCAAAAGAAACCUCAUUCACAGCUGAUACACUAAGAUUAGUUUGCUCGACUGAAUUCUGAAAAGCAGCCAUACUGCAGAAUGCACAUCAAACCUGUGUUUCUCAGAUUAGAACACUUCCAAAACAACACAAUAGUAACCAAUGUUUUCUUAUAAAUCAUUUUCAACACUUGGUUAGGUACUCUUCCUCCACUGACUUGCUCAGUGACAAAGGUAGGCACAAAAUAUAAAAACAAGCACAUGCCAUUCAAUAUACUAAUCCUGUACACAGCAUGUUUUUUCCACUGUUAGGAAUUUGAACUCUAGAAUGUGUUCACACAACAUGUAAUUUAUAGUUUUAUGUACUCAAAUCCAUUUUUUUUAAGGUGCAUAAGGUCAAACUGGGCUGUAUCUCUUAGCAAAUAGUAGACUUUCAUAUAAGUUAAACAUAUCAGUA